rnacentral:ncRNA from 1 species
CAAAGAUAAAAACACAACGUAAGCGCACGCUUACAGAGCCGGUAGGUAGUCCGGCCGCGCCUUUGGCGUAAGUAACCCUCCCUCCUUGGGUCGUCCGUUCUUUGCUUAG